rnacentral:misc_RNA from 1 species
CGGUAAUUCUUAUCAGCUUGGGCCAAGAAGAAUAUCUCUCCAGUAGACUGUGGUCAGGCGGAGUCACGGACAGACAUGUUGCCUUCUUUUGCUCUGGUAUUUCAACUAAUGGUACUGGGUUCCACGACGGCCAGUAUUUUUCAGGUUGUUGGAGCCAUUCUGGCCAAUCACCCCAAGACUUCCUGCGAUCUACCAUUUGGCAACAUGGACCAGAAUGGCUCCAACAACCUGAAAAAUACUGGCCGUCGUGGAACCCAGUACCAUUAGUUGAAAUACCAGAGCAAAAGAAGGCAACAUGUCUGUCCGUGACUCCGCCUGACCACAGUCUACUGGAGAGAUAUUCCUCUUGGCCCAAGCUGAUAAGAAUUGCCGCUCGUUGCCUCCGAUGGAGGCAAAAACAGGAUCGGGGGGACCUCUAACCACACAUGAUUUAACCAAUGCGCAUAACAAAUUGGUCAAAUUGUUACAACUCUGUUAUUUUCCAGAUGAAAUACGUACUCUCC